rnacentral:rRNA from 1 species
UACAGAGGUCUCAAGCGUUGUUCGGAUUCAUUGGGCGUAAAGGGUGCGUAGGUGGCGGGGCAAGUUUGGUGUGAAAUCCCGGGGCUCAACCCCGGAACUGCACUGAAUACUGCCUUGCUAGAGCACUGGAGAGGGAACUGGAAUUUACGGUGUAGCAGUGAAAUGCGUAGAUAUCGUAAGGAAGACCAGUGGCGAAGGCGACUUUCUGGCCUGUUCUUGACGCUGAGGCGCGAAAGCUAGGGGAGCAAACGGG